rnacentral:ribozyme from 1 species
AUACAAUGCAACAAAAUGAAAUGAGCAUGUUGCCAAAAAAGAGAUCACAAGAUCAAUCAGAACAGAAUCAGGCGAGACAGCCUUCUUCUCAAAACUGUACUUUACUUGAUCAACAU